AUUGAACGCUGGCGGCAUGCCUAACACAUGCAAGUCGAACGGGGCAGCAAUGCCUAGUGGCGGACGGGUGAGGAAUACGUAGGAAUCCGCCCUUAAGUGGGGGAUAACCAGGGGAAACCCUGACUAAUACCGCAUGAUCUCUUCGGAGCAAAGAGGGGGACCGCAAGGCCUCUCGCUUCUGGAUGAGCCUACGUCUGAUUAGCUAGUUGGUAGGGUAAAGGCCUACCAAGGCGACGAUCAGUAACUGGUCUGAGAGGAUGAUCAGUCACACCGGAACUGAGACACGGUCCGGACUCCUACGGGAGGCAGCAGUGGGGAAUAUUGGACAAUGGGCGCAAGCCUGAUCCAGCAAUGCCGCGUGUGUGAAGAAGGCCUUCGGGUUGUAAAGCACUUUAGCCUGGAAAGAAAAAACUUUGGUUAACACCCAAAGUCUUGACGGUACCAGGAGAAUAAGCACCGGCUAACUCUGUGCCGGCCGCCGCCGUAAUAC
rnacentral:rRNA from 1 species